rnacentral:rRNA from 1 species
AGGGGCAUCAGGGAAGUAGCUUGCUACUUUUGCUGGCGACCGGCGCACGGGUGCGUAACGCGUAUGCAACCUACCUUUAACAGGGGGAUAAUCCGAAGAAAUUUGGUCUAAUACCCCAUAAUAUUGAAUAAGGCAUCUUAGUCAGUUGAAAGUUCCGACGGUUAAAGAUGGGCAUGCGUUGUAUUAGCUAGUUGGUGAGGUAACGGCUCACCAAGGCUACGAUACAUAGGGGGACUGAGAGGUUUUCCCCCCACACUGGUACUGAGACACGGACCAGACUCCUACGGGAGGCAGCAGUGAGGAAUAUUGGUCAAUGGACGCAAGUCUGAACCAGCCAUGCCGCGUGCAGGAUGAAUGUGCUAUGCAUUGUAAACUGCUUUUGUACGAGGGUAAAAACAGGUACGUGUACCUGGUUGAAAGUAUCGUACGAAUAAGGGUCGGCUAACUACGUGCCAGCG